rnacentral:rRNA from 1 species
GAUGAACGCUGGCGGCGUGCCUAAUACAUGCAAGUCGAACGAACGGACACUAAGCUUUCUUCUCUGAUGUUAGCGGCGGACGGGUGGGUAACACAUACGUAACUUACCUAUAUCACUGUGAUACCUUCGGGAAACCGGCGCUAAUACCGGCUAAUAUUUUCAUCCGCAUGGUUCAAACGUGAAAGACGGUCUUGCUGUCACUUAUCGAUGGAUCCGCGCUGCAUUAGCUAGUUGGUAAGGUAACGGCCUACCAAGGCAACGAUGCAUAGCCGACCUGAGAGGGUGAUCGGCCACACUGGGACUGAGACACGGUCCAGACUCCUACGGGAGGCAGCAGUAGGGAAUCUUCCGCAAUGGGCGAAAGCCUGACGGAGCAACGCCGCGUGAGUGAAGAAGGUCUUCGGAUCGUAAAACUCUGUUAUUAGGGAAGAACAGAUGUGUAAGUAACUGUGCAGAGCGUGACGGUACCUAAUCAGAAAGCCACGGCUAACUACGUG